CGAGUGGCGGACGGGUGAGUAAUGUCUGGGAAACUGCCUGAUGGAGGGGGAUAACUACUGGAAACGGUAGCUAAUACCGCAUAACGUCGCAAGACCAAAGAGGGGGACCUUCGGGCCUCUUGCCAUCGGAUGUGCCCAGAUGGGAUUAGCUAGUAGGUGGGGUAACGGCUCACCUAGGCGACGAUCCCUAGCUGGUCUGAGGGGAUGACCAGCCACACUGGAACUGAGACACGGUCCAG
rnacentral:rRNA from 1 species